AGCAGCCGCGGUAAUUCCAGCUCCAAUAGCGUAUAUUAAAGUUGUUGCAGUUAAAAAGCUCGUAGUUGAAUUUCGGGGUUAGUAGGUUGGUCAUGCCUCUGGUAUGUACUGGUCUCACUGAUUCCUCCUUCCUGAUGAACCUUAAUGCCAUUAAUUUGGUGUUGCGGGGAAUUUGGACUGUUACUUUGAAAAAAUUAGAGUGUUUAAAGCAAGCUAACGCUUGAAUACAUUAGCAUGGAAUAAUGAAAUAGGACGUUCGAUCCUAUUUUGUUGGUUUCUAGGAUUGACGUAAUGAUUAAUAGGGAUAGUUGGGGGCAUUAGUAUUCAAUUGUCAGAGGUGAAAUUCUUGGAUUUAUUGAAGACUAACUACUGCGAAAGCAUUUGCCAAGGAUGUUUUCAUUAAUCAAGAACGAAAGUUAGGGGAUCGAAGACGAUCAGAUACCGUCGUAGUCUUAACCAUAAACUAUGCCGACUAGGGAUCGGAUGAUGUUAAUUUUUAAUGACUCAUUCGGCGCCUUAC
rnacentral:rRNA from 1 species